UACGAAGGGUGCAAGCGUUACUCGGAAUUACUGGGCGUAAAGCGUGCGUAGGCGGUUCGUUAAGUCCGUUGUGAAAGCCCUGGGCUCAACCUGGGAAUGGCAGUGGAUACUGGCGAGCUAGAGUGUGAUAGAGGAUGGUGGAAUUCCCGGUGUAGCGGUGAAAUGCGUAGAGAUCGGGAGGAACACCAGUGGCGAAGGGCGGCCAUC
rnacentral:rRNA from 1 species